rnacentral:rRNA from 1 species
GACGAGUCUGACGAACGUUAUUCGGAAUUACUGGGCUUAAAGGGUGCGUAGGCGGUGGAGUAAGUCGGAUGUGAAAUACCUUAGCUCAACUAAGGAACUGCACUCGAUACUACUUUGCUAGAGUAAGACAGAGGUGAGUGGAACUGAGGGUGGAGCGGUGAAAUGCGUUGAUAUCCUCAGGAGCACCGGUGGCGAAGGCGACUCACUGGGUCUUUACUGACGCUGAUGCACGAAAGCUAGGGUAGCAAACGGG